rnacentral:rRNA from 1 species
AUUGAACGCUGGCGGCAGGCCUAACACAUGUAAGUCGGGCGACCGGCGGACGGGUGAGUAAUGUAUGGGGAUCUGCCUCAUGGCGGGGGAUAACUACUGGAAACGGUAGCUAAUACCGCAUACCAUCAGAUGAACCCUUAUGGGAUUAGCUAGUAGGUGAGGUAACGGCUUACCUAGGCGACGAUCCCUAGCUGGUCUGAGAGGAUGAUCAGCCACACUGGGACUGAGACACGGCCCAGACUCCUACGGGAGGCAGCAGUGGGGAAUAUUGCACAAUGGGCGCAAGCCGGAUGCGGCCAGGCCGCGUGUAUGAAGAAGGCCUUCGGGUUGUAAAGUACGUUCAGUCGGGAGGCGUUACCGACAGAAGAAGCAACGGCUAACUCCGUGCCAGCAGCCGCGGUAAUAC